AUCGUGACUAUGUAACCAGUAUUGGUCGGUGGCCCAAGGUCUGUCUCCUUUCAGGGUUCAACCUCCAACCUUAUUUCUGCUUCCUUCAUGUUGGAAUUCACACUGUGAGAAUUGUUGUCAUCCUUUCUUUAUGACUCCAAGAGAAACUUUAUACUGGAGGAAGAAUAUUCUACCACUUUGGGAUGCUUCCAAAGAAAUGGGAUACCAAAGGAGUGAACUUCAGGUCAUUGGAAGUGGCCAAGCUGGAGGGCGACCUAUGGAGACAUGACCUUCAGUUCUUCCUGAGAUCAAUAAAGCUUAAAAGAAAAGAAAAAGCCAACUCAGCUUGUGCAUGGAUCCUGGACCUUGCUCUAAUACAGACCCCGCUCCUGGAGUGUAAGCCAUGCUUGACGGCUCAGCUUUCUUGUCACUAAUGAGGUGGGAUGUGGUUGUGCAUUCAAAAUCUAGCAAGGACGAAGUGAGUGCACCACUGAUUAAACAUGGAGAGAAAUUUCUUUCCAAAAGGCUGUGUAAGAGGAGAAGCAGGAGAUGUAUGUAAGAUUUCUCAUUUGUGCGAUGCAUCCUCUGAACCACUGUGAUGCCACAGGCUGCUGAACUUUCCACAGGGGCCAUUAGGGACGAAAUCACACCGAUGGAAUGAAAGGGAAAAUAACCAAAGACAACAGCAACAGCUCAAAACACCAGAAAAAGCAGCAACACUGUAUCUAUCCAUCACUGGCCCAACUCGACAUCUGGAAAAGAACCCAGAGUAGCUGCCAACCAGAUGGCCCCUUGGUUCUCGGCUUGGGUCAUGGAAAAACUGAAGAUGCAUUAGAUCAUCAAAGAAAAUGGCAC